GUGGGCGUAGCUUAGUGGCAAAGCGCCGCUCUGUGGCAGCGGAGAUCGCGGGUUCGAAUCCCGUCGCCCACCCA
rnacentral:tRNA from 4 species